GACGAACGCUGGCGGCGUGCUUAACACAUGCAAGUCGAGCGGUAAGGCCCUUUCGGGGGUACACGAGCGGCGAACGGGUGAGUAACACGUGGGUGACCUGCCCUCAGCUCUGGGAUAAGCCUGGGAAACUGGGUCUAAUACUGGAUAUGACUCCACGGUGCAUGUCGUGGGGUGGAAAGCCUUGUGCGGCUGAGGAUGGGCCCGCGGCCUAUCAGCUUGUUGGUGGGGUGANGGCCUACCAAGGCGACGACGGGUAGCCGGCCUGAGAGGGCGACCGGCCACACUGGGACUGAGACACGGCCCAGACUCCUACGGGAGGCAGCAGUGGGGAAUCUUGCGCAAUGGGACGAAAGCCUGACGCAGCGACGCCGCGUGAGGGAU
rnacentral:rRNA from 1 species